rnacentral:rRNA from 1 species
UACAGAGGUCUCAAGCGUUGUUCGGAUUCAUUGGGCGUAAAGGGUGCGUAGGUGGCGCCGUAAGUCGGAUGUGAAAUUUCGGAGCUUAACUCCGAAACUGCAUUCGAUACUGCGGUGCUUGAGGACUGGAGAGGAGACUGGAAUUCAUGGUGUAGCAGUGAAAUGCGUAGAGAUCAUGAGGAAGACCAGUGGCGAAGGCGGGUCUCUGGACAGUUCCUGACACUGAGACACGAAGGCCAGGGGAGGCAAAACGGG